rnacentral:rRNA from 1 species
UACGAAGGGUGCAAGCGUUACUCGGAAUUACUGGGCGUAAAGGGCGCGUAGGCGGCCUUCUAAGUCGAACGUGAAAUCCCCGGGCUCAACCCGGGAACUGCGUCCGAUACUGGGAGGCUUGAAUCCGGGAGAGGGAUGUGGAAUUCCAGGUGUAGCGGUGAAAUGCGUAGAUAUCUGGAGGAACACCGGUGGCGAAGGCGGCUCUCUGGACUGUAACUGACGCUGAGGCGCGACAGCGUGGGGAGCAAACAGGG